UGAUGACAAUUUCUCCGGAAUCUCUGCACGCCAUUGAUGACUUCCGUUGAACCCCUUUCCAGCUGAUGACUGCAUAGUCUCCCU